rnacentral:rRNA from 1 species
GACGAACGCUGGCGGCGUGCUUAACACAUGCAAGUCGAACGGAAAGGCCCUGCUUUUGUGGGGUGCUCGAGUGGCGAACGGGUGAGUAACACGUGAGUAACUUGCCCUUGACUUUGGGAUAACUUCAGGAAACUGGGGCUAAUACCGGAUAGGAGCUCUUGCUGCAUGGUGGGGGUUGGAAAGUUUCGGCGGUUGGGGAUGGACUCGCGGCUUAUCAGCUUGUUGGUGGGGUAGUGGCUUACCAAGGCUUUGACGGGUAGCCGGCCUGGGAGGGUGACCGGCCACAUUGGGACUGAGAUACGGCCCAGACGCCUACGGGAGGCAGCAGUGGGGAAUAUUGCACAAUGGGCGGAAGCCUGAUGCAGCAACGCCGCGUGCGGGAUGACGGCCUUCGGGUUGUAAACCGCUUUCGCCUGUGACGAAGCGUGAGUGACGGUAAUGGGUAAAGAAGCACCGGCUAACUACGUG